rnacentral:rRNA from 1 species
GCUUGCUCCUUGANUAGCGGCGGACGGGUGAGUAAUGCCUAGGAAUCUGCCUGGUAGUGGGGGACAACGUUUCGAAAGGAACGCUAAUACCGCAUACGUCCUACGGGAGAAAGCAGGGGACCUUCGGGCCUUGCGCUAUCAGAUGAGCCUAGGUCGGAUUAGCUAGUUGGUGGGGUAAUGGCUCACCAAGGCGACGAUCCGUAACUGGUCUGAGAGGAUGAUCAGUCACACUGGAACUGAGACACGGUCCAGACUCCUACGGGAGGCAGCAGUGGGGAAUAUUGGACAAUGGGCGAAAGCCUGAUCCAGCCAUGCCGCGUGUGUGAAGAAGGUCUUCGGAUUGUAAAGCACUUUAAGUUGGGAGGAAGGGCAGUAAGCUAAUACCUUGCUGUUUUGACGUUACCGACAGAAUAAGCACCGGCUAACUCUGUGCCAGCAGCCGCGGUAAUACAGAGGGUGCAAGCGUUAAUCGGAAUUACUGGGCGUAAAGCGCGCGUAGGUGGUUCGUUAAGUUGGAUGUGAAAGCCCCGGGCUCAACCUGGGAACUGCAUCCAAAACUGGCGAGCUAGAGUACGGUAGAGGGUGGUGGAAUUUCCUGUGUAGCGGUGAAAUGCGUAGAUAUAGGAAGGAACACCAGUGGCGAAGGCGACCACCUGGACUGAUACUGACACUGAGGUGCGAAAGCGUGGG